GGGCUACACCUCCCACAAUCAAAACCCCAUCAGCUACGCAAGACCUGCCUCUUCAAUGUUAAAAUGUCCCUCAACAGUUUGCUAUGUUUUGCAAUGAUUCACCUUUAAUUCUGCAUUCAAGUGGCAUUUUAUUUUGGUUCACCUGCAAUGCUAUGUUCUGUCUAAACAUCUUGCUACAUCUCGGUACAGUUUGCACUUCAUGCUGUGGACGUACUGUGGAUGUGAGUUCAGUACAGACUGUGGGUGUAAUACAGACUAGAAGUUCAGCAGAGGCCACAGAGACCUUGCACAUCUGCAUUUACUUCAGGGGGUAUGGGUGAGGUACCUUCUCCUGAGUCACUAUACCAAGUACGGUUACCCAUGACAAUCCUAUUUAACAGAAGAGAAAUGUAUCAUAAAAUGCGGCCUUUGCUCGGGGUUAUCUGAUACUGAAGUGAACAAUGCAGAGGAAAGCGGAGUUGAGUGAGCCACAGCGCAGCAACUGCCGAUCAGCCUCAGCUGUGUCUCAGGUCCAGCCUGACUGAAGCAAUCGCCAAUCAGCCUCAGCUCUGUCUCAGGUCCAGCCUGACUGAUGCAGCUCCAGAUCAGCCUCAGCUGUGUCAGGCAGGCCAAUCACCCUCAGCUGUUUCUCAUGUCCAGUCUGACUGAAGGGACCACCAAUCAGCCUCAGCUCUGUCUCAGGUCCAGCCGUAAAUUCAACCACGGGACUAGUCAAAGUCAUAGCUUUUGUCUUGUCUUAUGAUUCAUUUCAAAUGAGGGUCAAUCCUUCUCUAUGCUGAAAUAAAAAAAAAAAAGAUGAAGAAAGCAGACUGCUCAAUUAAGAUUUUGGAAGAAUGGAAAGCGUGGCUUUUAAGUAUAACUUUACUCAUAAAAACUUGAUACC